CCUGAGAAAAAAAAAAAAGGAGAGAGAAACUAGAAAUGCUUAUAGUUCUCUUUUAAAAAUGAGUAUUGUUCCUGUUUGACCUACUUAAGCUUAUGUAUUGUCAGCAAGAGUGCAAAGGCAACAGGUCAGGUAUCCACAUAUUUUGUUGUCUUACACCUACACAGAAAACCACAGUGUGUUAGUGCUGAAUUUAUUUGAGCUGACCAUGAAAUUCCCAUUGCACUGAAUUAUUCUUUCAUUUAUUAUCCCACAAACUCAGUGCAAGAAGGUUUUACUCGUGGAUUAAGAAAUCAGAGUAACUGGUUGCAAUAAGUAAAGCAUACUGACUUAAGAGGAGUUGUCUCGAGCCCUGAUCUUCACUCUUGACCUCGGUAUUCACUUCUGAUGUUAUGACAGAAGAUCUUGGAUUGUGCUGUCAUCCUUCACAUACGUGUUACAAGAUAGAGAUGGCAGUUCAGCUUCUCACUUCUCACCUGGUUUUGCCACAUUUGAAAUGAAGCUGCAGAAGCUGGGCUGCUCCCUGCAUGAUUCUUCAAGCAUACUUUGGAACCUGGUAAAUUAGACUGCUGUAGUGACCACCCAGUUGCUGGGAGCUCAGCUCUGUUUACUCCAACAACUUGAAAGAAAGCGUUCUUCUCAGCCAGCUGUCCAUAACCCAACAGGGACCUUCAGGCAAUUCAAAUUCCCAAUUUGAUCCAAUUCCCAGUUAAUUGAUUGAGAUGUCAUCUGCAUAUGCUCGUUAAUAACUUUUCAUCAGAUUUUCAACGGAUCUUCCCAUCUCAGCUUAAAUGCAUGGGAAUAUGCUGAAAAGGGUGGCAGCAGCACCAUCAGACCCGGCCAGAGCUGAACAAGAGGGGAAGCACGCAGGGCUGGUUUGCUUACAUUGCUCCUCUGCCUCCUGCAGCUUCCUGAAGGGAAGAGAAGCAACAGAGGCACAGGACCAGUUCCUCCCUGGAGACAUGCUCCUUGCUUCCUCUGCCCAUUUUCAGACAGGAGUGCAGCUACACUGUGUGACUUUUUUGGAGCAUGCUGUAGGUCAUCACCUGGGCAUAAAGGCUAUUUGUCUACCGCAGUAAGAGAAGGGGAUGAAAAAUCGUGAAUGAAACUACUGGAGUCAUUUAGACUGGAAAGAAGGAAGAGACAAUAAGUUAUCAGGAAAUGGGCACCAAAAUUGCAUAACGAAAUAACUGCAGCACUUCUGCAGAACUCGAAGAAGAAAGAGAAUCAAAAGCCAUUGUAUGUACAGCACAAAAAGCUGCAACUUCUCAUAGCAUCAUGGAAUUAACCUGUAAAACCUGCUGCUGAACCCAAGCAGUCAGCUGGGUUGGAAUUUGGCAGCACAGAGCCAUUGCCAGUAGUGGAGAGGUGCUCCUUCACCCCAGGACUGCCUUCAGCCUGGAGAUAUGUGAAUAUUAAACAGUGACACGAGCAAGGUUAUCAUGUUACGGAAGGGACAUCUGAUCCUUUGCAUCUCUUUGAUGUCUGUUAGGGCUGGGACAAUAUGCACACCACUAAUGGAGAAAAAGGGACUGGAGAAGGCGCAGAGACAAAAGAGUGAUAAGAGCGAAUGUGAAGAAAUGAGGGCAACAAACGCUUGAGAAGGAUCCAGAAGAUGAAAAGCAACAGGAAGAUUAAAGAAGAAAUGCUUUAGGAAGCAUGAUGUACAUAGCUGGAGGUAGCAACGGGCCAGCCAAAGAGCUGCCACCACCUGUUGUCAGGUAAGAGCGUGCCAGCCCCAGUGCCUCAUCCCCUGUAACGCUGGCCCAGGAGUCAGCUGGAGCUGAAGACAACUGAUGUCUUUCCUACACACCAAUGGAUGGUAUUUUUUUUCCCCCAAAAAUCAGCAUGCUCUGCUGAGCCAUUACUGCUUUUCUCUCCUCACCUGUGAAGCUCUCUGGUUACGGCAUGUGGGAUCAGUUUAAAUCUAUAGGGAUUAGUGAUUUAAAUUAAAAACAAAAUGCAACUCCCACCCCAAACUUUCUGAAAUGUUCAUGCGGGACACCGGAACAAAACAAUCCCUCAUGCACCUGUUUGUUACAGAGGUGUGUCAAAUGUUUGCUGUGAAUCUGCUGGCCCCAUACACCCAUGCUAUAGAGUGAGCAGGAGCACGGAGUGCUCACAAGUCAAUGGGAAGUUUUCCACUGUUUUCAAUAAGUUGCACAAAUUUGGUUUUCCGAUAUUUGUGUUCAUGGCUCCUAUAAAAUAACAUUAUUUGUUAGGGCAAUGAAUUGAACGUGUGCUAGUAGAACACGGCAUUAAAACUGUAAGAGGUGGUAUAGCCUUGUAAAAAUCAGUCCUUCAUUUUUGAAAGCAAACAGAGGUAUGGCACUCCGAAGACUCACCACACUGCUAAUGCACUCUCUUCUCAUGCAGGUUUUAUAAACCAUUCAGAGAAGUGUGCAGCUGUGAGUGGACCGGCAGCGAUGCCCAGCUCCGCACUGCCUACGCAGCGCACUCAGAUGCUCAGUGCCGUGAAGAUCUGACUCCUGAACGUGAGAGCAAGUUGCUCACUUCUGCUACGACAAGUGCACCAUUUGCUAAGAUCUGAUCCCAGGGGCCUUAAGAGGAGCACCGAGUACAGGGGGACCUGCAGGAAAACGAAGCCAGGUAUCCACUGAGCCUCCACUGUUGCACCUCGCUCCACCAGCCAGCACAGCCACAACAUAGAUGGUGUUGCCUAUAAUAUAAAAUAGCACUGGAAGCACUAAUCCUGGUACACGAGGGCCGACAGAAAAAGUCAAUAGGCCUGCCAGGAGCUCCACUGCCUGCCUCCACUACAUCAGGAUACUCUCCACUGACAUGAACAAGAAUGAUACCAGCAGCUCUGGAUAUGGACAAAUUAACUUUCUGCUUACAACUCAGGCCAUGUGGUAAUACUGGCAGUUGGCUGGCAUGCCGAUUUGUGAAACUGGUAACUCUUCUCUUGCUGAGAAUUAUAAUAUGGAAAAAACAGCUUAUCUUACAUUCUUACUAUUUGGUUCUCCUACAGCCCAUCUUUUUGUCCUCUGGUAAAUAAGCUACACUAAUUUUGCACAGUCCCAGCAUUACACUGCUGAAUACCUCAUGCAGUUCACACCACUGCUCUGGCACGAAGACACCAGGGGCAGUUACAGGCACGCCCAAGGCCACAGCUGUUUGCAAUUCUCUGUAAGCAAGUGAUUUAGAAGUUGUACCCAGUUUUCUCUAUCCGUGUUUUUGUUGUCACACUUAAAACAAUGCGUAAAUUAUGCUCCUGUUUAUUUUUGCAUUUAAUUACACCGUAUUCAAUGUAUUUUUCCUGGCUCACUUGGAGAAACUGAGCAUGUCAAUAUCAAUUUGUUAAUUUGAUUUUGAAGGGAAAACAACCAACAAAGACCUUAUAUCUGCAUGUUGCGAGUUGGAAGACUUGGGUAACAGUUUUUUUGCUAGUGUGCCUGAGCAGCUGGCAGGUGAAAGGCAGAACCAGAGUGCAAUUUCCAGUAAGUUUUCUGUUACAGCAGCAGGGAAAGAGCGAGUAAACAGAAACACUGAUGCACUGGCAUGUCAAGUGGGAGAACCAGGCUCCACAGCCACAUUCUGGAAGAAAAGAGUGGGAGGCCUUACUGCACUGAGGGAACUGGCACCCCAGAGGGAGAUGGCAAUCAAUAUACCUGCUGCACAGAGGAUGCUUUGGGCUUAAACUUGGGGAAAACUUGCAAAUAAUAAGAAAACUGUUAACUGUUGGAUUCUGAUGAGGUGCUGAAAGUCAAACCUGUUUUUUUUUUAUGUGACUGAGAGAGAUUCAUUCUUAAAUACAAUACUAUGGUCAUGGGUUUGAUUCUGGUCCCAGUGAAGUCAAGGCCAAAACAUCCUUUGACUUAACUGAAAACAGAAGCCAGCCCCGACUUUAACCCUCGCAUCUGCAAACAGAAUAUAACUGGAUGUGAACAGAAGAGGAAAUAUUUAGAGCUGGCAACAAAUCCAUCUUUUUAAUUGGGAAAAAAAAAAAAAAAAGCCAUCACUGAAUUUAUUCCUCUUUCAAAAGCAGUGUUAAGUACUUCUGGCCCAAGUUCAGCCCUCAUUCCCUCCCAGACAACCCAAAUACAAGUGGAGGACCAAGUUUCUUUCUGUUGUCAUCUACUGAUUCCCAUGGAGUUCAACUAGCCAAGUUUGUCCAUGAGAUUAUAUAUCAGUUUUGCGAUGGCAGAAUUCAGGCAGUGGUCUCCCAGAAGGCAUACCACGUUCCCCAGAUACCAAAUCUGCAGCCUCUGAUGUAAUCAUACCCAUACAAGUCGCUGGCAUAACACCAUCAACGCAGUAUGUCACCAGUGUUAAAAGAAGAGUCCCUGUUUUUCAUUGCCUGCUUUCUCAAGAGAGAGAUUUGCUGCUGCAAAAGCUUCUACCAGAUCUAAACGGAUUACCUGCAGCACUGGUAGCAUCUGCUCUCCAUUAGGACAGAGGCGUAACAGGAGCCUGCCCUUUGGACUGGGAUUCCUUCAGCGUUUCAGCUUUACGGUGAAAAUCUCAGUUUCCAGUGCUUGCCAACUGAUCCUUUCUGAGUCUGACCAAGAGUAACGUUGCAAGUGCUGCAUAAUAGCUUCCCAGCAUCCACGUGCAGGAUUCCUUUCAGGUAUUGCUUUUUGUGGUCCUCAGCAGAUAAAAAAGCAGGAAUUUUAGCCUUUGAACUCAUACCAUACUACAGUAGAGUGAAAUCAAUACAGACACAUGAACACUGGAAUACCUCUGCUUAGCCUGUUUGUCUGGUGCCCAGCUCUGUCAGGCAGGCAGUCAUCACAGGGAUUGUAUCAAUGAGGAAUGCAAUAAGUGCACGCAUGCUAAACUAAAAGCCAGCCCUCCUAGCACAGACUCAAGCAAGAGCAAAUCAGGUGAAAACAACAACAAAAAAAUACCAAAAUACAAAAUCUCCUAAAAUGUUUGCCUGCAAAUUAUUUUUAAGUACCAGAAGGUAAAAUGCAUGCUAAUCACAGUGGAUUAGUUGGAAGAGUAGGUUAUUUGGUGGAUAGAGCAUGGAGAUAUGAGUUUGUAAUUCUGGAGCUUGUUUCUAGCUCUGCAGCUUCUCCCAGCUGCACAAUCAGGUUAGGAGAGCCACCAUCCUGGGUAAUGCUGUAUCAAUGAAGUUAUACCAGGGAUGAGAGUGGCAAUACUUACCUGUUUCUCACUCAGCAGAUUAUUCAUUUAACGUCAGUAUUGUGCAAUGGAGCAAGCUGAUGUGCUGCAAGGACUAAGCACGUUUAUCUAUUUGUUACAUUCUUGUAACAAAGAAACUUGGCAAAAUUGAUGUAGCUAGCAGCAGUUUUAGCAGCAGUUCAGGGCACAACCUGUGUUAGCUGUAGCCUAGCAUGUUCCACACCACAUUGUUACUGUGUGCUUGAGAGAUCUAGCCUCCUCUAUGCUUUCAGAAUUGAAUCCUGUGUUUGCAUGCCUACAUAUUUCAUCUAUUUAAAAAUGCACUUUGUUCUUAAAGACUUUAUUAGCCCAUGAAUAGAUUAAUUCUAUUUUCAGUUAUACGGGUACAAAUUUGCAGUAUCUCCUUCAAAACCAGUGAAGUCAUCUUUUUGUGAAGGCCAUCUGACCAGGAAAGGCACUUGCACCUACCUGUAAAGGCAGGACUCUUCUGUGCUCACCUGCCUGUUGAUUUUACACCUUCAGAUGUCUUUGACAAGUUGCUGUCUACACACUGAUAUACAUUCCUGGUGUCACUCCACAGCAGUGAACAGAGUUACACCAGGGAUUAUUUGGAGCAGUUUUCUAAAAGAACAGGACUUACUUUGUUUCCAUUUAAGCUUACAGUAAAGCUCUCAUUGACUUCACUGGAAGAGAGAUUUGGCCCAAUGUUCUAAUAUCCAAACCACCUCCAUUUACUUCAGUGAUAGUAGGCAAUGAAUUAAUAAGGUCCAAUGUAUUUUAAAAUCUUAGAUUUCAUAAAUGAUCGCAAGCAUGUAGGUCACAAUAUAUACACAGAACGACACCUACAACAACCACCAGUGGGAUCAUUAAAAUAAUUAAAUUAGGCCUAAAGACAAAUUCAUUUCAUAACAUGUUCCUUACAAAACAGAUACCCCUUGCUUCAUAAUCUAGGGACUCUUUUUUAUAAACUUCCUAAGUAGUUCAUGAAAUAUCCCCCUAAGGAGACCAGGUCUACUUGCCAUUGCAGAGUCAAUAUAAAGCAAAAGUUUAUAAAUCACAAGACAAAAGCCAGUGAUGUGUACUCAAAGAUGAAAUGUGAAAAGGUAACACCUCUUUUGCUUUGCUGGUGCAGUGGUUUGCUGUGACCUCAGAACGUGAUUUCCAACACAAAGUUACCAAAUCAGCAUCUUAAUGUAAGUCCUCUCCAUGUGUUGCCUCUACUGGGUGCACAGCAUACAAAAAAAAAGAAAAAAAGAUACAUCAAUAAAGGGGAUUCCCCUUUAUUUUAAGUGUAAAGCUGCUACAACUGUGAAACUGGGCAAAGGUGCAGGAUUUUGCACGCGUUCAUCAGCAGGAAAAGAGCCUCCACGAGCAGCACGUAAAAGGAGGAGACAGGUUGCUUCCAUAGCAUCCUAUGGGAGCGGUCUCUCAAACCAUGCUGCUAAUGCUGAUGCUUUUCAUGUUUCAUGUUAGUGCCCUGAAAAUGACUGCUGAAAAAUACUUAAAUUGUGCUGCUGGCACUGAAGUGCCCUGGCAGGUGAGAGGUGAGUGGUAAGCAAAAGAAGAAAUUAAAAAAAUGACAAAGGACUUAACCAACUAACCUCAGAAACUGCUAUAAAUACAGAGCGCUAAAGCAAGAGAAUGUUGAAUUACUGCUCUCCCUGUCUUCUGGGUUCUAUGUGUGAGUUUUAAUAAACCAGACUGAUUUUUAACUCAUUGUAAACAGGAAGGAGGAGAAUUACGAAUGGGCUAAACUCAGCCCAGUUAUUGUUGCAGGAGAACAGAGAAGAGCAGAAAAUGAGACAAGGUCAUCUGUUUUUGCACCGAAGGUAUUGGAGAUGCAGCCCAGCAGCCCUGACCCACUCUCAAAGGCCACAAGCAACACCCCUUUGGCCACAGCCAGGAUGGACAGAUUGCAUGGAGAACACCUCCUCUCUCUUCCCUUUUUGACUAGCCAGGCCAAACAAGGUAAUAUCUAGAUCAGGAAUGUGGCAUUUUCUUAACUGCAGGCUUUUUGAGCAGCCUGUGCUGGACUUAGCAACACAGCCAUAAUUUUAUUCCUGUAAGGCGGAUGAGCGUGGUUUGCUAUCUUCUCCUCUCCAAUAGUAGCUCAAUCCACCCCUUUCUAGGUGCUGUAAUACCUAUUUGUGCCUAGAACUCCACACAACUCAGGCUGUAAUAUAUAUACAUAUACAGAGAAAUAAUAAUUUCAGAAAAAGUGUUCAUCAGACUAGCUGUGUAACAUUCCCUCUUACACGUCAUCAAAUAUUCCAAGUAAACAUACUAAUAAUUCAUUCACUGACAGGUCCCAAUCUCUGCACCCAAUUACAGUAAGAUUUGUGCUCCCGAAGGAUAAGCUCUGCUUCCCUCUCCAGAGCCUGCGGGCAGUCCCCGGGCAGCAGCUGUGCUGGGCAAGGCAGCGUUUAUGAAGUCCAGUAAGGAGUAAACACCUUUAUCACAGCAGACAGCUCAGCUCUGCUGUGGCUCCCUACAUGCCAGUUAGUCAGAGAUCCUGGAGAGAUGGACACAGACAGGUCUGAAGAAUCAGUUUCCAUAUAAAUUCCUUUGCUCCCAUCUCUCACAGCCACUGGACUGAAAAGUUACAUUACAGGGCUUGUUCUCCUUUACCAACAAAGCCACCACUGCAGAAGUAAAGCAGUAUCCUUGGUUAACACAGGGGAAUCUGUUCUUGGUGUAUUAUUUCCAUGAGCUCUGCUCAGUUUCUCAAGGCAGACUCUGAUUCUAGGAUUUUUUCCCUCUAAUAGAAGGUAGAGACAGGGUACCUAGGUCAUUACCCCCAGCUGUGAUUACUUCCCUGUUGCAGAUUUUUAUUCCAUGGAGGCCACAUCCAGUGCACCUCCUUUAGCCAGGCAAUGCCCUGCUCUUCCCAGACCUGGCACUGUUGAGGUGGCUGCUGCAGCAGCACCAACCAACUUAUCCAGGAGGAUGAAGGGUUUUCCACCUCUGCCUGCCAUUCUCUGUCCUGCAUGCUACCCAGGCGUUGUGCUGGCUGGGUCCUGGAAGAAGCUCCCAUCCUGCCCCUAAAUUCUCAUGCUUCCCAGAGAGCUGCAUGGACUUGAGUGGCUGCAGCCACAUGGCACCCUUACAAAACAGCAAUGUUUCGCUGUGCAAGCAGGGAAUGCCUGGCUUGUUUUCCAUUAUUUGAUUCAGCAGUCUGGAAAUAAGAGUUCUUUGCUGGUUCCAUCUCCCACUCAGGUAAGCACAGCACCCACAGGUUUAGAUGCAGACCGGGGGGAAAGGGGAGUGGGAUACAGAGAGGAUCUUUACAAGGAUUUUUAAGGAUUUUUUUUUUCCUUUAACUGUUCUGCUAGUGAAAAUUCCCUUGGAAACCAAAGACCUGCCCAGUCAGCAACAAAAUGAGAAAAACUCUCAAGAUUUAUCUGUUAAUUACAGGUGCAUUAAAUGUAACAGAAAAUGAUUUUAAUCUCCAUGAAAAUUCUUACGUUAAUUCGGAAAAGGCUUAAUGCAUAACUGAAAUAUCUGCUUUUCUAUUCCUUUCCUUGCUUUCUUCUGCAGCAGAGCUGGGGGGCCCCUGGAAGGCUCACCCCUCUGAUGCCGGUGCGCCACAGUGACCACGCUCAUGCCAUACCUAGGCUCUGCAGCUCUGAGCAUCAGUAGCACAGGAAAACAAUCCUACCUCUUCAGGUGCUUUCCUUUAAAGUCCAUGUAUGCUUCAAGUUCAAAAUAUCUAUUAAAAUUAAUGAGCUUUGUGCUGCAGCUCACAUGCAGGUGCGUUUUGUAGAGAUUUGCCUGAAUUUGGGCUGUAGGCACCGAUUCAGAAACUCUUCACCUUUUGGGUAAUAGACCAUGCUUUUUAGCCUGGUUAUGCCUGAGCCUUGUGCCACCCCACAGACAACCUCACUGGGAAGAGCAGUACCUUACUGAGGAUGUAAUGUGCCAUGGCUGGCAUACAUUGUGCUAAAAGAGCAUCACUAAGCAGGUCUGCGGAGAUACUGAAGAGGGGCAACGUGCCGUACACACGCCGGGUGAGUGAGCUGUGGUCAGUGUGGUAUGGAAUUGGAAUUGAGAGGUUUGGGAAAUGCCUAGGUUAGUAUUGAUGCCUACAAUUACACAGGACCAAAAGAGAGUGAGUGGACGCAGGAGAGCUGGCAGUUUUCUGCUCCAAAUUGCAACCCUGACCUCAAAUGCACUGUGUUUUAGAGGCCACAAUCAGUCUCUGGUUAUGAACAAAUUUGGUCUUAACUUCCUGGCCAAAGCAGAGGGUUUGUUUAAGAACUGAUUUACACCCUUCUGCCAGUAUGUGGUGAGUGACAGCAUCUGAUAAUUGGCAUUGUUUUCUUGUAAUAACAUCACGACUCUGCAGAUCUGAUGAGGAAUUAGCAAGUCCAUGGUGGUAACGCUGGAUUGAUCCUACGUGCUCUUACAUGUGCUAAGUCUGGAGAAUUAUAUACACUGAACACAUCUGAAUUAAGAAUUUCCCUGCUCUCUCCCAAGAAGAGAGAGUUGUAAAGGGUGAAGUGGAAAAUCUGUCUUGAAGAUCUCAGUACUGGAUAUGUUUGAGUUAAUCUGUAUCUGGCUAUAGGGUGUCAGCAGUCAUGGUCUGCCAGGGACAACAGGUGAGUCUUGAAACUUGGAAAAGCACCUUGUCCUGGAAGUCAGUCCAGCAUGGUGUGAUUGCAGAGAGGUGGGGAGAAGAAAAGAUCUUGGGUGUUGGUGCUGAGUUCCAGCAAUGGGAGAAUCUAGGUGACCUACUGUGCAGCUGGGCUCAGAAGAACAUGCUUGGUAGGAGAGUUUGUCCAAAUGAGGGUUUAUAAAAGAAUGAUGAGAGUUUGCUUUGACAAGAAAAAGUCCGAAAGUUUAGGGGGCUCUUUUGUAAAUUCCUUCCAAAAGAUCAUGGGUUCAGAGGAAAAUAAGGCAGAGAAAACGGGAAAAUUCUACUAUGCCUCAUAAAAGCUGCAGUCAUAUCAUUGCUUUCUGAAACAGUUAAGAAAAGCCUGUGCUGGUUUUCUCUGGAGGGCAGAGCCUCCAGAGAAGUGGGUGAUGAAGCCAAGGUGCCUCAAGGUCAGGGCGUGCACUGUUAGCACUGCCUUGGGCCACAAAGCCAACAAGUUUUGCUUUCCUAAAGAGGUAAGAAAGCUUUAAAAAAGGUGGGUGUUUUCAGUUCACCAGAUGGAGGAAAGGCUGAGGGCAGACAGGUCCAGUUUGGCAGGUCCCAACCACCUUGUGCUGCCAAGUGGUGUUGGGGAAGCUCCUCUGGGUCUGUGUGAUCACACCGCUCCCACCAGGGAACAUCUGCUUCAAUUACAACCGUGUCUGCUGACUUCUCCCACUUGCCCAACACUCUUGGAAGUGAGACUUCUUAUAACUUUAUUUCAAACAAAAUAGCAUACUUAUCUUUAACAGAGGGUUAGACAACAAAUACUACUUAACGAAGAAUGUAAGGUAAAUAUAUUACUCUUUAUAGCUGAACAACUCACAAGGAGCUCACAGCAAUUCUCUGAGAUAAAUGUUAAACAGGGUUGCAAAAAGAACAGGCUUCUGAUGAAAAAAAAAUCUCAUUCUGCUUUCUAACAACUUCAAAAUCAUAUCAGAAUUUUCAGUGAAAUGGCAAAGUGUGGGCUUGCUGUGGUAAAGGGGGAUUUGGAACUUUUCGUUCUUUUCCACUUAAAGUCGAUGAGAUAUCUGUCACUGAACUCAGUGGGAGUAAGACUGGAUGAUUUGGCAGCAUCUUUGGGUGUUCCACUCUGCACAUUAAGAGCUUGGAUUUCUGGUGGAUUUUUAUUUUUGUUUUUAUUUUUUUAUUUUUUUAUGAGCUAUCACAUUCCCUUGAAUAAAUACAAGUUGUAGCAUUGUAGCUCACUUUAUAGAUGUGCUAGAGUCUUUGCAGCCUUUAUAAUCUGUCAUCUAAAUCCAUAUUCAAGUGUCAGUGUGUGAAGGGGUUGCUUUUAGAGGUCCUGUGGGUGAAAAUAUUAACGGAAUCUCUAGAGGAAAUGCUCUCAAAGUUGAAUAAUUCAUCUGUUCAGCUGGUUACUUUAGAAGUAAGAUAUUGGUGGUAAGAGUAUUCAACAGAGGUUUUUUCUUUGCCUUUACAUACCUGUAGCUCACAACUAUCAGAGUUGGCAGUUUUGGUGGGAAAACCUACUAAAAAUAAGCUAUAGAAGGUGAGCCUUAGAUGCAGGUAAGUCAGUGUCAGCCUCCGUGAAUCCCCCAAAAUUUGUUAACUUGAAUGGCAAUUUCAGGUAUACAAGAAUAGCAGCUUCAACUAGCUAUCAGACGAGGGAUUAAUAUUACUACUUCUGAGAUCAUCUCUGUGACUAUUAUUCUGUCUUCAUGUUGUUUCUGCUCACAAUGUCUUUCGCUUGUUUCUUUUUUCCCUUGCCUUUCACCCUCUGAAAAUCCAGCUUACUUAUUUAUAAGGUGUUUCAUUUAAAAAGCCAACUGGGAAGACUUGUAAGAGUAAGGACUAAGGUGAGCACGUCUAGUUUAGAAACUGUCCUUGACAGUGGCUGUUUAACCCUUCCCUUUUGCCACAACGGUUGUGUGCUGCUCCAGUGUUCUCUUCCUUAGAGAAGUUACGUAGCCCAUAAAAAUUUACUGGAAAGAGGGCAUCUACCACCUUUAAUGCCUAAUCUGGCACCCUUUGCUUAUGCAAAUCUAAUCAAUGGACAACUUCCCUUCUCCCAGCAGCUGCACUAGUACAAACAACAUCAAAGACUUCAACAAUGGUGCUCCGAAACAACUCUGGGAUCACUGAAAUGCAAAAUUAGUUCUCCGACUUUACAUCGCCAGCUACUCCCUCACAUGUCUCACCCAGAAAAGCUAUCUCCUUCUUCUUGCAUCUGCGAGAGAUGACUCUCUCAUCUAGAGCACUGCAAUGGCAAUCCGUGCCUUGUGGAAGAAUCACACAGAGGCAGCGAAGCACCAUCAGGAGCUCCCAUCAUCCCCACUGAAAUAACUGCAAGUUUUAUUUUGAUUUAACUGGGAAUGAGAGUAGGACAUGCUCAAUGGGGGGUAACCAACCAAGUCUACAUUGCACUGCUGCAAAAAGCCGAAUUACGAAGAAGAAAAGAAAAAAACCCACAACAACUAUGAUUUGAUUUGAAGCUUAAAGUGAACCCUCCAUCCAUAACAUAUGUAGCAAUGCAACCUACCUAGGUGGUGGUCAGGGGUUGUUUUGCUAUAAAAAUAUACACGGUUACUAUUUAAUCCUUCUGAUUUUCAGAUCUAGUUCUUUAAGCUCUCACUCCUGUAAGAACUGAAAUUUGAGCAGCUGAAAAAGCAUUCAAGCCUUAUGAGAUAAUACUGCGAUGCAAACUACGUCCAGUACACAGCAAAACAUCUGGCAACACAAGAGCUCUGGUCAGUCACUGUUUUGUAUUUUUAACUUAAAUAGAACUGCAAAAGCCUAAGGAAUAUACUUCUGGUAUUUUAGCAAAGGGGAAAAGGAUUUUAAAUCACUACUCUGUUCUCUUUAUAUAAAAUAUGUGAAUUUAUGUAUAUGCUCCCAAAACUUACAUAACUGAAGCUUUUAUUAAGCAAGUCUGAUAUGGGGCAUAUUUUAAAAAUAAUGUCAGCAGUGAUAUUUUAAAAUGUGGAAACAGAUGUGCUAUUCCAUCACAACUACUGAAUCUUCUCUGUAUUUUUAUACUAUGAAGCAUUUGUCUGCUUCUCAGUUAUAAAUCUCUCCCCACCGAACAGACUUCUCUUUGAUUAAAGUACCACACAAACAUUAAACAGCAACUGUUCUGAAAAAAAAAUAAUAAUAAUAUGGUUUCAGUCUAACCAUAAGAUACAGGUAUUUUAGUAAUUGUUUCUUUCCCAUAGACAACGUAGCAACUAUCUCCUUGGCAUGAGAGCGCAGCCCUAUGCUUUACAACAUCAGAAGCAUAUCAAGGUAUCUCCAUAAAUGUCAUUUAUUGCUGAGAACCUGCCAAAUCUGUGCCAAAAAGCUAGUUCUUUAAAAGGAGAGAUCUCCAAAUAAAUCUAGACCUUUACAAUGGUGGUCAAUAACGAAAAAAAAGUCCUUCUCUUUACAGAAAUACUGGCCAUGCGGGCCAGUAAUCUCUGAUAACUUGCUGGCCUGAGCUCUGGAUUACUUUUCAGUCCAUAGUGCCUCCUUUAAGCAGUCUGACAGGCACCUUGAUACUGCAUAUCUACACCUUCUGGUGGUUACAUACGAGGCAUUUAUCCUUCUGAAGCAUAAACAGUCAGAAUGACAAAGAGAUGAAUCGUUUUAGCGAUCAAUAACUGUAAAUCAAAAUCAGGUACUACUGCAAUGAAAAUAUUUUAACCCUGAAAACAGUGAUCUCUCCCACAGUACAUUACAGGUCUGAUGCUACAAGGAUGACCCAUACAUCGUGGUGCCCAGUACCCCCCAGGACUGGGACCCGGGCAAGUAACAAAGAGACAGUGUUACACAUAGAAUAUUUUCAUGCCACCUCAGUUCAUAGUUUGAUGUAUCUGGAGUUCCCUCUGUGAUAAUACUGGCCAGAACUAAAUCCAGUUUUAGUUUUUUGCCAGGCUUGUCAUUAACACGUUUGGUGCUAAUCAGCUACCUAAACCACACAAACUCGAUCCAAAGUGUGGCUGCAAGCGCACAGAGCUGGUAUACUGGCCACUGCCCACAGGACAUGCCUGCUGCCACAGAGGCACUGAGCUAUGCCUGACUUUAGGAUUUCUGCUGGCCAACAAAAGCAUCUAUCAGUAUAACUGAACUGUUUCAUUUUCUCAAAAGAAGGGGAAAAAAGUUUUCUUUUUCCUAAAUCUGAAAGGAAUAGGUUGCUAGAUACAGCUGGAAAUAAUACAGGACACCAACAGGUGCUUCACACGUAGCAGUAUAGUGCUGAAGACACAGAGAGAAUGAAUAGGCUCUCUAAAUAAUACAUAAAUUGUACAGGCAUUUUUUCUGUACAACACCAGUGAAGUUAACGUAUAAAUCGAAAACUGAAUUAUUCAUAAGUGGUGAAUAUAUAAUAAAUGGCAUUUCACACCGAAGUGUGCCGCACUGGUACAUGAGUAUUUCCAUGCAAUGAACGGAAUGAGGCAGAGAGCCUGAAAACACAGGAGUCUUACCUGGAG